rnacentral:lncRNA from 1 species
AUUGAGAACGAGAGUACUGAGCGUGACCAUUUUGAGCAAUCAUAAGGAAGUCUACCUUUUCAUCGAUGACUAGCUCGAUGCUGCAGUUGUGUAUCUAGUUCUUUGACCUGAGAUGCAUCGAUAGUUCACCUUGAGUGUGUUAUAGUUUGACUACAUCAUAACUCGAUCUCCUAGCCAUUCGAAAUCCUGAGGUGUAUAUUGGCUGUAGCAUAUUCAUUGUAGGAACU